UACAUAUGCCCUCCCUUCUUUGUACGG
rnacentral:piRNA from 1 species